AAAUUGAAGAGUUUGAUCAUGGCUCAGAUUGAACGCUGGCGGCAGGCCUAACACAUGCAAGUCGAACGGUAACAGGAAGAAGCUUGCUUCUUUGCUGACGAGUGGCGGACGGGUGAGUAAUGUCUGGGAAACUGCCUGAUGGAGGGGGAUAACUACUGGAAACGGUAGCUAAUACCGCAUAACGUCGCAAGACCAAAGAGGGGGACCUUCGGGCCUCUUGCCAUCGGAUGUGCCCAGAUGGGAUUAGCUUGUUGGUGGGGUAACG
rnacentral:rRNA from 1 species